ensembl:lncRNA
CUUAGAUGUUUAAUGCCCAUAUACAGACAGUUUAUGCCACAAAUGAAAUCUAUGAGCUGGCAAGCUGUUUAACUCUGUGGGCUGACUGAACUCAGCUGGAUGACUCUGCUUCAAGGCAUCUGGCAGUCUGUGAAGGAAUUCAAAUGAAGAGACAUGCAAAUGGAGUAUAAUUUUGGUCGUGAGUAGGCUCCUUAGCCAAUACCAGUGGAAAUUACUAACAAACAUCCUGACAAACAGCAAAGAGCUCACAACACAAGGAAGCUGAGGACCAUACGGAGAGUGGAGGGAGGCAGUGCUGCUUCUAACCUACAAGGAGUCUAAGUCUUGGUUUUGUACACUUUCAGCCACCUGGUUUGUGGGUGAAUGAACCUUAUGAAGAUAUUGAAGCAUAAUUCACUUUCAAUGAAAUAAACAGGAGC